UGAGGAAUAUUGGUCAAUGGGCGAGAGCCUGAACCAGCCAAGUAGCGUGCAGGAUGACGGCCCUAUGGGUUGUAAACUGCUUUUAUGUGGGGAUAAAGUGAGCUACGUGUAGUUUAUUGCAGGUACCACAUGAAUAAGGACCGGCUAAUUCCGUGCCAGCAGCCGCGGUAAUACGGAAGGUCCAGGCGUUAUCCGGAUUUAUUGGGUUUAAAGGGAGCGUAGGCCGUGGAUUAAGCGUGUUGUGAAAUGUAGACGCUCAACGUCUGAAUUGCAGCGCGAACUGGUUCACUUGAGUAUGCACAACGUAGGCGGAAUUCGUCGUGUAGCGGUGAAAUGCUUAGAUAUGACGAAGAACUCCGAUUGCGAAGGCAGCUUACGGGAGCACAACUGACGCUGAAGUUCGAAGGUGCGGGUAUCAAACAGGAUUAGAUACCCUGGUAGUCCGCACAGUAAACGAUGGAUGCCCGUUGUUAGUUCACUUAUGAAUUAGCGACCAAGCGAAAGCAUUAAGCAUCCCACCUGGGGAGUACGCCGGCAACGGUG
rnacentral:rRNA from 1 species